CUUCGUGAUAGCUGGUUCUCUCCGAAAUGCAUUUAGGUGCAGCGUUGCGUGUUUCUUGCCGGAGGUAGAGCUACUGGAUGGCCGAUGGGCCCUACAAGGUUACUGACGUCAGCCAAACUCCGAAUGCCGGUAAGUGAGAGCGCAGCAGUGAGACUGUGGGGGAUAAGCUUCAUAGUCGAGAGGGAAACAACCCAGACCACCAACUAAGGUCCCAAAGCGCGUGCUAAGUGGGAAAGGAUGUGGAGUUGCUGUGACAACCAGGAGGUUGGCUUAGAAGCAGCCACCCUUGAAAGAGUGCGUAAUAGCUCACUGGUCAAGUGAUUCCGCGCCGACAAUGUAACGGGGCUCAAGCACGCCACCGAAGUUGUGGCAUUGACAUUAUUGGUAGGCCUUCGUGGUCCAGCCGUGUUGAUGGGUAGGAGAGCGUCGUGUGGCCAGCGAAGCGGCGGUGUGAACCAGCCGUGGAGGCUACACGAGUGAGAAUGCAGG
rnacentral:rRNA from 1 species